rnacentral:rRNA from 1 species
AGAGAGCUUGCUUUCCGAGCGAGUGGCGAACGGGUGAGUAACGCGUGAGGACCUGCCUCAAAGAGGGGGACAACAGUUGGAAACGACUGCUAAUACCGCAUAAGUCGGCAUCGAAAAAGGAGCAAUCCGCUUUGAGAUGGCCUCGCGUCCGAUUAGCUAGUUGGUGAGGUAACGGCCCACCAAGGCGACGAUCGGUAGCCGGACUGAGAGGUUGAACGGCCACAUUGGGACUGAGACACGGCCCAGACUCCUACGGGAGGCAGCAGUGGGGAAUAUUGCACAAUGGGGGAAACCCUGAUGCAGCGACGCCGCGUGGAGGAAGAAGGUCUUCGGAUUGUAAACUCCUGUUGUUGAGGAAGAAAGACGGUACUCAACAAGGAAGUGGCGGCUAACUACGUGCCAGCAGCCGCGGUAAAACGUAGGUCACAAGCGUUGUCCGGAAUUACUGGGUGUAAAGGGAGCGCAGGCGGGAAGCAAGUUGGAAGUGAAAUCCAUGGGCUCAACCCAUGAACUGCUUUCAAAACUUUUUUCUUGAGUAGUGCAGAGGUAGGCGGAAUUCCCGGUGUAGCGGUGGAAUGCGUAGAUAUCGGGAGGAACACCA